rnacentral:rRNA from 1 species
UACGUAGGGUGCAAGCGUUGUCCGGAAUUACUGGGCGUAAAGAGCUCGUAGGUGGUUUGUCGCGUUGUCCGUGAAAUUCCCUGGCUUAACUGGGGCGUGCGGGCGAUACGGGCAGACUGGAGUACUGCAGGGGAGACUGGAAUUCCUGGUGUAGCGGUGAAAUGCGCAGAUAUCAGGAGGAACGACCGGUGGCGGAAGGCG